UACGUAGGGUGCGAGCGUUGUCCGGAAUUACUGGGCGUAAAGAGCUCGUAGGUGGUUUGUCGCGUUGUUCGUGAAAACUCACAGCUCAACUGUGGGCGUGCGGGCGAUACGGGCAGACUGGAGUACUGCAGGGGAGACUGGAAUUCCUGGUGUAGCGGUGGAAUGCGCAAAUAUCAGGAGGAACACCGGUGGCGAAGGCGGGUCUCUGGGCAGUAACUGACGCUGAGGAGCGAAAGCGUGGGGAGCGAACAGG
rnacentral:rRNA from 1 species